GCGACCCCAGGAUGGGCGAGGCUACCCGCUGAGUUUAAG
rnacentral:rRNA from 5 species